rnacentral:rRNA from 1 species
UCCCAGACUCCUACGGGAGGCAGCAGUGGGGAAUAUUGCACAAUGGGCGAAAGCCUGAUGCAGCAACGCCGCGUGAAGGAAGACGGUUUUCGGAUUGUAAACUUCUGUUCUUAGUGAAGAAUAAUGACGGUAACUAAGGAGCAAGCCACGGCUAACUACGUGCCAGCAGCCGCGGUAAUACGUAGGGGGCAAGCGUUAUCCGGAUUUACUGGGUGUAAAGGGAGCGUAGACGGCAGCACAAGUCUGGAGUGAAAUGCCGGGGCUUAACCCCGGAACUGCUUUGGAAACUGUGCAGCUAGAGUGCAGGAGAGGUAAGUGGAAUUCCUAGUGUAGCGGUGAAAUGCGUAGAUAUUAGGAGGAACACCAGUGGCGAAGGCGGCUUACUGGACUGUAACUGACGUUGAGGCUCGAAAGCGUGGGGAGCAAACAGGAUUAGAUACCCUUGUAGUG